AUGGCACCAACCACCUAGAAUCUGCACUGCUUAGCACUGGCCCCUGGAUGAACAGAUAUGUCUGAUGUGGAGGCAAUACAACACAGAGACGGUGACUGAGCUAAUAUUUAAGUACCAUGCUCAAGAUUACUGCGAUCCUCUUUUAUUUAAUCACAGAUGUACAAGAACACACCAGUCCUACCUGGAACAAACUCAGAGCCUUCUGGUUCAAAAAGUGCUUUGCAGUCAAAGGAUGACCUUGUAACUGAAUACAGCUACUCCAAAGACAGGAUCAGUUCAAAUGUUCCCACAAUGGUACUACCCAGGAAUCCAGUCAUGAGGAAGAUACACUCAGCAGCAGUGAAUUAAUGAAUCCCAAAGGGAAAUGGAAAAAGGACAAACUCCAAAGAACCUACCACCCUGAAAAUUUGUCCUAAAUAAGUCUAUCUCCUAAUGAAAAAAGGAAAUUUGUAGGACACUUCUAAUGUCCUUUUUAUUAUAGGACAAACUUAAAAUUAUUACAACCUAUUAACUUAUAAAGAUAUUGAAAUGUUAUUUGGUUUCUGGAGUUUUGACCAAAUCAGAAGUACAGAGUCAACAACUGACUCCUCACUGCAGAAAGAAAAUCUACCUACCAUGCUUCUCCCCACCAUCUUCACAUACUCUCUAAAUUAAAUAGUUGAGUUUAGGUUCAGGUUCUGAACAGAGCUGAGGCUGAACUAAACCACAAUGACUGGACUCGGAAGGUGUUACUUUCACAGACACUGACAUCAGCCUCCCUGCUGUUUCCCAUUUAUGUUCUUAUGAAGAAAUAGCAGUUUGCUCCCAGCUGUCUUCCAGAUAUCUGGUGUUACUUCUGCCUUCCAAGUGGGGCCCGAAAAAUAAGCACAUUGCAAAACAACACUAUUUUUAGUAGUUUUCUGUAGUCUCUUUGCUCUUAACAUUACAUGUAGCACUCCCUGCCCUCCUGUUUG